UGAAGAAUAUUGGUCAAUGGACGGAAGUCUGAACCAGCCAAGUAGCGUGCAGGAUGACGGCCCUAUGGGUUGUAAACUGCUUUUGUAUGGGGAUAAAGUUAGGGACGUGUCCCUAUUUGCAGGUACCAUACGAAUAAGGACCGGCUAAUUCCGUGCCAGCAGCCGCGGUAAUACGGAAGGUCCAGGCGUUAUCCGGAUUUAUUGGGUUUAAAGGGAGCGUAGGCUGGAGAUUAAGUGUGUUGUGAAAUGUAGACGCUCAACGUCUGAAUUGCAGCGCAUACUGGUUUCCUUGAGUACGCACAACGUUGGCGGAAUUCGUCGUGUAGCGGUGAAAUGCUUAGAUAUGACGAAGAACUCCGAUUGCGAAGGCAGCUGACGGGAGCGCAACUGACGCUUAAGCUCGAAGGUGCGGGUAUCAAACAGG
rnacentral:rRNA from 1 species